CGAGGGCGGGGCCGAGACAGAGACUGCCCCGACGCGGCGGGCGGGGGCUAGGAGCUGGGGGCGGGGUCGCGCUGGACACCCCAGAAUGCUCGUCCACGUCACAAAGCUGUUGUUCCCUCUCCCCCAUCACAGCACCCGAGGUCCGGACCAACUUGGCCUCACUCCAGGGAUUUUGCUAGACCGUAUACCGCUUCAUGCUAUCCAUCCAGGGGCUCCCAGAAUGGUGGCACGGGGCCUGGGGCACCAAUGAGCCAUCCUUCCUUGGAGAGAUCUGGUUUGGGAUCCCAGCUACUCUCGCCCUCCAGCCCGCCUCGCUUGAAACUUCCGGCAAUAGAGACUCCUUUGAUGUUUAAAGAAAACAAGGACAAAACACUGGCAGCAUAACGUUUCCACUGUGGAACAGCUAAGCUGCUGGGAUGGCGUCUGGGCAAGGCGGGUUUUUCAAUGGAGCCUGCCUCUCUUUGGAGUAGGUGGCUUAGGCUGUGCUGAUGCCAUCUUUGCCUGGUUGUCAAAAAGAGAUCCAGAAAUAUAGGCUUGUGGAAUGUUGGAGCUGGAAGUCUUGUCCAACUGAACUUACUUAUUUAACAACCCUGGAAGGUGAGUACCCAGCUCCCACAGCAGAGAGUGGGGAGGGAAGUAUUAGGAGUCAGCUUUCAGGGUUAACAUCAUGGGUCUGGGACUGGAAACUUCACCUUGUCCUGUCUACAUUGUGCAAACAACCUUAGGUCCUGGGAAGUCAGAGAAGCAGUCCAAAUCCCGAUAACAAAGAAGAAAGGCUGUUGGUCCCAGCAGUCAGCACUCCCUUUUAGAAGCUUGGCAAUAUUUCCAAGUGCUUUUGCCCUUCACUGUUAAGUGGCCCAGCUCUGUGAACCUUCUGCACCCUCAGGUCACAAACUGUUCUUUUUACAGGCCAGAAGCUGAGCCCAGAGUGGCCAGGAAACUCUAGUUUGGCCCAUUUUGGUUUGUUGGGAUCAAUAUUUGCAUUUCCUGGACAUUUCUCCUGAGCAGUAUCCAAAUGCCUGGUAUAUUCAGGGGACGCGAGUCAGCUCACUUACAGAGUCUCUGUAUCUAUCUCUGUCCAUCUCUGUCCCUCUCUGUGUCUUGCUCUCUUGAUGUCUCUGUAUGAGCCAAGCUCACUUAACAGACUCUGUCUCCCCCUGCUUCCCCCCUGCACAGGGGUUGGGGGAGUGGGUACUAGCACUACCACAGCUGUCUUAGGAAAAUUUUCUCCCAAAUACCCUUUUAAAAGCUUCUCGCUAAUCCCUCUUUUCUGGGAGAGGUCUAGAGAUCUGGGUGAUUUCCCUGGGGGAGAGACAUCAGUCACACAUUCCACAUGAAAGAGAUUUACCCCUUUCUGCAGCUUGCCUGUACCUCCUCUUAUAAUUCAUCACAGCUCAUCACAGUGCCCUGGCCAGUGAGGCUGAUAAGGGUCCUUGAAAUCUUAAGUGACCGUCUCUGAACUCUAGGGAGAAGAGAAUGGGGAGGAACUGCUGAGUGGGCACAAGGUUUUCCUUUAGGGCGAUGACAAUUUUUUGGAACUAGGUAAAAGUGAUGAUUGCACAUGUUGCACUGCAUUGUUCACUUUAAAAUGAUUAAUUUUAUGAUAUGUGAAUUUCACUUUAAUAAAAAAAUUUCUUUGAAAAAAAAAAA